UCUCCUCUCUCAUAUCCUCUGCUCUCUCUUCUCACCCCUCUCCUCUCUCACGGUGCAUGUACACUAGAUAGCGGUAAACUGCCGCGUGCCGCUAAGGCCGCCCAUUGUGACUCGCUUGUGGGCGUGCUGGCAGCAUAUGGCAGCAUAUAGCAGCAUGUUCGACAUGGCAGCAUAUAGCAGCAUGUUCGAAGUUUGUAUGAAGGUCUGGUUAUUAAAUGGGUACGUAACUCAAUAGUAAUAUCCUCUAAAACGCUCUGGUGACAAACAAACUUUGCUGCCCUGUUUCCAGUUGUCCACAUGGCUGGGAGAACCUAUUCAAAUUAAGAGGGCUAUGAAAGCCUGUCUACAUAGGAAGAGGUCCCAAUGAAGAGCAGUGGUUCUCAGUCCUGGUCCUGGGGACUCAAAGGGGUGCACAUUUUUGUUUUUGCUUUAGCACUGCACAUCUGAUUCAAAGGAUCAACUCAUCAUCAAGCUUCGUGUGAUAACUUUGUAACUGGAGAUUCCUUCAAAACGAUUGCCUACAGUUAACGUGUAGGGCACUACAAGGUUGGGUGACCAGGGCCAUCUGGGACUGCCUCCUGGAGGAAUUCAGGUGUGUGAAGGCUACCUGUGUCCUGCGUAACUUCAUGAGGAUGGACAGGAGGACCAGGAGGGGAUCUGCAGCUCGCCCCCGUGUGCCAGAGGAGAAGUCUGCUGCUCUGCAGGAUGUUUCAAGGAUGGGGUCCACAACGCGGCAGGAGAGGUUGUAUCAGCUGUGUCGGUGAACCACUCUUGCAUCUGAACUGGCUACAUAGAGGGCACAGCAUGAUCAGAGAUAUGUUUUGAUGUGAGAGAGGAUGCCAACCCCCAGUCCCAUCAUCGCUACCUCACUGCUUUUACACCUCUCUCGCCACCUCCUCUUUCUUCCUCUGUUUUUAUAAUACACAACAGAUGUGCAUUGGAGUACAGAUUGAACUUGUACUUAUAAUAUUACAAUUCUAAUAUUUAUAAUGCAUGUAUGUAUUUACAACACUUGGAUAAUGAACUUCUUUCAAUAAAGCAUUUCACAUUCU